GCUCAGUUGGUUAGAGCGUUGGUCUUAUGAGCCGAAGGUCGCGGGUUCGAGCCCCGCCGGGAGCAUAUGUUUUUAUUUCAUUAAUUUAUCCAAACAUUUCACAAUUUUAAAAACUAAUUGCACGAUAUCGAAUCAUCAUCUCCGUUCUCAUCUGCAAGUGAAUUCAAUUUCAAUCUCAACGCAAUUGUUGUAAUAAAAAUCUUUCCUUGGUAAAUUAUUUGACUCAAUGUUCAUGAUCCUACAUUUAUCUCAGCUCUGAUUCUCAAUCAUCAUUUCGAGAAACGUUGAGAUUUUGAUCCCACGAAAGAGACAAUGGUUCACCACGCUUACGACUCGUUCCAGCUAACAAUUGUCCCGCUUGAAUCGACGCUCUCGAAUCCUACGGCUCUAAACUACUCGCCGGAUGCUACGACGGCUCCCUCCGCAUUUACUCUCCUCAAUCCUCCUCCUCCUCUGAGCUGCGUCAAGAGCCUUACGUCCUCGAGACGGCCGUCUCUGGCUUCUCUAAGAAACCUAACUUGGAGACAGUCGCUGUGAUCACCAAAGCGAAAGGCGCGAACGCGUAUGCCUAGGACGAUGGUCAUGGCUUCCUCUGUUUCUCGAGGCAAAAGAGGGUCUGCAUCUUCAAGCACGACGGAGGAAGAGGGUUUGUUGAAGUGAGAGACUUUGGAGUUCCUGAUACUGUAAAGUCCAUUUCUUGGUGCGGUGAAAACAUUUGCUUAGGGAUUAGGAAAGAGUAUGUGAUACUUAACACUGCUAAUGGGACACUCUCUGAGGUGUUUCCUUCUGGUAGAGUUUCUCCUCCUCUUGUGACUUCUCUACCUUCUGGUGAACUUCUCUUGGGGAAGGAGAACAUUGGAGUUUUUGUUGAUCAAAAUGGAAAGCUACUUCAGACAGAGAGGAUUUGCUGGUCAGAGGCUCCAAAAGCUACUUCAGACAGAGAGGAUUUGCCUUGUUGCCACGGCGAGUUGAGGUUCGCUUGCUACGAAGCCCCUAUCCUUUAAUACAGACUGUUCUCCAAAAUAUUCGGCACCUUGUCAAGAGUAACAAUGCUGUGAUUGUUGGUUUGGAUAACUCUGUUCAUGUUCUCUUUCCUGUUUCUAUUGGUGCCCAGGUGAUUUUGACUUUAGCUCUGAGAAAAUUUGAUGUUUCUUGCUACUAGUUUGUGGGUUCGGUUUAUUCGGUUAGUUCGAGUAGUUCGAAAUUUGAACCGAAAUUUUUUUGGGUUUGGUUCGGUUCGGCUUUCAGUUAGUUCGGUUUCAAAAACUGAUACCCAAGUUUUUGUUUUUGCGGUUAGUUCGGUUUAAUUUUCGGUUGAAAUUGAAUAAAAUUUGAAAAUCUUUUGUUAUUUCGGUUCGGAAUUUCGUUAAGAUUGGUACUGUUUGGAUUUUUUUUUAAACGAACUAACCGACACCGAAAACAAUUUUUUUUUAGUUGCCGAACCGAACCGUCGAACCGAAGUAACUGAAAACCAAACUUUACGGGUCGGUUCGGCAAGUUCGGUUCGGGUAAUAACCGCAGGCCUACUACUGCUCACUGAUGAAUAUAUGAUACUAUUUUUCUGAGAAAGUGUCAUUGCAGAUUGUACAGUUAACAGCUGCUGGAAACUUUGAGGAAGCCUUAGCUCUAUGCAAGUCACUCCCUCCUGAAGACUCAAGCCUAAGAGCCGCGAAAGAGAGUUCUAUUCAUACAAGAUUCGCUCAUUAUCUUUUUGAGAACGGUGUUGGACCCGAAUAUGACCCUCAGGUGAGGUACCGAUAAGCGUGAGCUAGCAUGUGGGUUGCGAUAAGCCCAUCAUAACAAAGGGAGCUGAAAGCCGAGCUGACGACUGGACCUGGGAGACAUCAUAGCAGAGGUCACGACAGAAAGUGAGCUAACACCUUAAGAGACUCGGUCAAGAGGAGCCUAAAGCGAGUUCCGUAAUUGAAGCCGAAUAUCUCGGAGAACAGUUGAAGGGUUGCCAACGAAACCUAGACUAUAUAAAGACGGAGAAGAUAAAAGACAAGCCAUCUCUUUUCCAUAUAUCAACUUUUGUACUAGAUUAAAAGCAUUACGUAUUCUUUAGUAAUCAUCUCAAGAUACAUUCUUUUGUAUUCAUCAUCUUUCAACUCAUCAAUAAAAUCAUAUUCAUUCUUCAA